AACGAACGCUGGCGGCAUGCCUAACACAUGCAAGUCGAACGAUCCCUUCGGGGUUAGUGGCGCACGGGUGCGUAACGCGUGGGAACCUGCCCUUAGGUUCGGAAUAACUCAGAGAAAUUUGAGCUAAUACCGGAUAAUGUCUUCGGACCAAAGAUUUAUCGCCUUUGGAUGGGCCCGCGUUGGAUUAGCUAGUUGGUGGGGUAAAGGCCUACCAAGGCGACGAUCCAUAGCUGGUCGGAGAGGAUGAUCAGCCACACUGGGACUGAGACACGGCCCAGACUCCUACGGGAGGCAGCAGUGGGGAAUAUUGGACAAUGGGCGAAAGCCUGAUCCAGCAAUGCCGCGUGAGUGAUGAAGGCCUUAGGGUUGUAAAGCUCUUUUACCCGGGAUGAUAAUGACAGUACCGGGAGAAUAAGCCCCGGCUAACUCCGUG
rnacentral:rRNA from 1 species